CGGCCCCUCCUCCCGGCUCGCGGCGGCCGGGCCCCCCCGAGAGCGGCAGCAGGAUGGUGCACUGGAGCCCCGGCGAGACCAGCCCGGCUCGCGCAUUCUCGGCGCCGCCGAGCCCGAGCCGGCUCUGAAGCAGCAGCAGGAGCAGCCCCCUCCGGAGCGGCGGGAGCUAUUGCGCAAUUGUGCCCAGCUCCCUCCCCUCCCUCCCCAGCCAUCAAUGCUGCUCAACUCCCGAGGAAACAGAAAGCUGAUUCAUGGAGCCCAGACCCAGCUUCCUCCGUGCUGCUGCUACCCAUAAGAAGAUCAUGGUGCCGCUGCUGCUUGAGACUUUGUUUUAACGCCCCCUCCUCCUCCCCUUCCCUGCUUCCCCAUCCCUCCUCCCCAGACCCGGAGCUCGCUCUCUCCUGGAAGUGCGAGUCCUGCCCGGGGAGCAGCCGAGCCUGGCGCAAAAAAAAAAAAAGAGGAGGAGAAAAAAAAAAAAAGGGGGGGGGAAACCUGGAUGCAUCGCUGUGGAGAUUCAUUGUGUGACUUCCCGGGUAUUUACUGAGUUUCAAACCGAGAUGCAGCUCUUGAAAGCUUUAUGGGCAUUAGCAGGAGCAGCGAUCUGCUGUUUUCUUAUAUUUGUCAUCCACUCUCAGUUCCUUAAAGAAGGUCAACUGGCUGCAGGUACAUGUGAGAUUGUUACUUUGGACAGAGAUAGCAGUCAGCCCCGAAGGACUAUAGCCCGACAAACAGCUCGCUGUGCAUGUAAAAAAGGACAGAUUGCCGGUACAACAAGAGCAAGGCCAGCCUGCGUGGAUGCACGAAUUAUUAAAACAAAACAGUGGUGUGAAAUGCUUCCAUGUUUAGAAGGAGAAGGCUGUGAUUUGCUAAUCAAUAAAUCAGGCUGGACCUGUACACAACCUGGUGGACGGAUAAAGACAACCACGACUGAAGACCAGCUGGAAAUGUCCUGAGGCCAUGGUCUAGUGGUCUGAGCAUGGGACUGGGAGCCAGAAACUCCUGAGCUCUAAUCCCGGCUCUGACAGUGACUCCCUCUGUGGCCUUGGAAAACUGACCACCACUGAACUCCUUGCCAAAAUUCCACAGAAACCAGGGGGUAUUGGGGAUCUUGCCAAAGAAUUUAGAUCCAAUAUGCUGCACAAUACACAGGGCUCUGCCUCUGAUAGACAGCGACACACUGCCUGUCUGAGGCCAUGAGGUUUGGAGAUCUGAUCACUAGUCCGAAAAGGAAAGGCUGUUUGCAAGAUUUCUGGGGUGUUUUUUCCUGGAAAAGGUCUCCUGACAAAUACAGCAACAGAGAAUCCUCGUAGGAGUGGUCUAGGCUCUGUGUGAGCUACUUAGUCAAGUUUCACUGCUGUGGAUCAUCAUUUGUUAUAUGUCAUCAACUCAACUGUCUAUUUCUCUGUAUCUCAUAAAAGACAGCAUAAUUCUUCUACAUUAUGAGCUAAAGUCUGUUCUACCAUACUAAGGAGUACUGGACAAAGGAAUAUAGAUAUGCGAGAUAUGCCUGGGCAUUAGCAAUACAAAAAAGUUCAUGGUUAACGUUUCAUCUGCGUUAUACACCACUGCUGGACUUGAUGUUACCUACAUGUUUUAAUCUGAAGAGUCUACUACACUGAAGAGUAUCAUCCCAAUCAGCCUUAGAGAAGACUGUUUUGUCUAUGGGAGGACAAUGAGUUGCAAAAGAGAAACUCUUCUUGUGCCCUGGACUGUCUGAAUUGCUUUUAUUUUCUUAUACUUUCAGUAUAUACGAUAGACCAAAGAGAAAAAUCUAUUUUAAAGUGGACACAAUCUUACUGUUAACAAAGUUAUCUGCGUUAAAUUGUAGGGGGUCUCCACAAAGACAUGAAUUCAGUUGUCACAAAGCUGAGAUAUUGCUGUCCAGCAGAAGUCUUUACGGGACACUGCAGUAAAAACUAAACCAGAAAACUGCUUUGAAAAAAACACAUUCUAAAGAACAUAAUGGAGCAGCGAGGGAAAAAUGACCUAUGUUUGAACUACUUAGAUGAAAAGAAUACAAACUGUCUACAUGGCACCUUUAUUCCUCUGUACUUAGAUUGACUUUCUCGUACUAAAAUCAUUUUCAGUUUUAACCAGUUAAACAUGCCUCUUCUACAGUUCCAUUUUUGAUAGUUAAAGUUGGAUAAUACAGUAUUUGCAAAGAGCAUGUUUGGUCAUCUGUGGCCUAUGUCUCAUCUGAUACACCAUUUAGCACCAGAAAGCAAAUUAAAGAAAAAAAAAGUAACACUUGUUUGAAAGAGAUCAUUAAAUGUAUUUUGAAAAGCCUAAAGUUAUAUAUUUAACAGUUUUUAUAUGUUGUAUAUUUGUAGAAAAUCCUAUUUAACAAUUAACGUGGUAACUCUGACAGUCAUGACAAGUGGUUCAGAGUUAAGUUGUGUUUUAUUACUUCAGUUGUUUCUGAAGUGACUGGUGUCGUUUGCUUUCUUCCAUUGGGACGUUCUGGAUGUAAAGCAUGACCAGAGAGGACUCUGUAGAAAAAGCAAAGAAUAAUGUUGUUUAUAUUACAUAAAUGCAUUCAACCAUUGCACUGUUGGAAGGCAUUUUUUGUCUUUAUGUACUGGUAAAAUAGAGUGUAAAAUAUUUUAAUCAUUGCUUUUCAUACCGAGUUAUUUUUCUCUCUCUUUCUCCCAGUCCCCUUUUACAUGAUUCAGUACAAAGGUCAGUUUGCAACCUAUUCCUUGAUUCAGUUUCAAUGUUUUACCUCAUCAGUAGAAAUCCCACUUUGUCAGCAUUAUCAGGUAGUGAAAAUUAAUGCUAGAGCAGCAUAGAAAAGAGGAGAAAUGAUGAUAAAAAAGAAAAUUCCUACUCCCUAUUACUGUACCUUUCUAUGUACAAGGUUUGGUACGUAUUGAUAUGAUGAGACCAACAACUGAGGUUAGCUUCUUUCUGGCAAAUGUAUUCUGAUUUUAAGUACUUCUCCAGGUUUCCACUGUAGUAUGCUACCUAAUACUCCAGUUAACUUUUAGUAUUAUACUAGUUCUAUGCUACUAAAGAAAAUUAUAGAGAGACUGUUCAAGCAAUCAUAGAAGAAAAAUAUAAAAACAAAAUAACUGAUUUUUUUUUCAAGGCCUGUUCCAAUACUGAGGCUUAUUAAAUACAGAGGUUACAGGAACCAUGAAUUAUAGGUGACUGUGUCUUUGAGUAAAAUAAAUAUAUACAAUAUUCUUAUUUAAUCUUAGGGGUUUUUACCAGUGUCAAAGUAGCAAUUAAAGCCCAGCCACUUGAAAAGUGUUAUGGACUGACUGCACUAUAAAUGACUGAUGUCAGGUUUAAAAUGUCAUGCAAUAAAUGAUGGUAAAUACAGUUACUGUACUAGUAGAACUCAAGAGCCAGAGCCCUCACCCUACCAACUUUCUGUUUUGUUUCAGUUUAUUUUUAAAGGGAGUGUAGUAGCCUUACUUAGUAAACACAGAACAAUUAAAGAUGUUACAACAUUUUUGUUGCUUUACAGUAUUCAGUUUUGUGUUGGUUCAGCUAAAUUAUAAAAAUAAAGAAAAUACUUUUAUAAGUGA